AAGUCUCACCUGAAUCAAGGCAAGUCCUUUCCACCUAUGAGCCUGUAAAAUCAAAAGCAAGUUAAUUACUUCCUCAAUACAAUGGAGGUACAAGCAUUGG